rnacentral:rRNA from 1 species
GAUGAACGCUGGCGGCGUGCCUAAUACAUGCAAGUCGAGCGAACAGACGAGGAGCUUGCUCCUCUGAAGUUAGCGGCGGACGGGUGAGUAACACGUGGAUAACCUACCUAUAAGACUGGGAUAACUUCGGGAAACCGGAGCUAAUACCGGAUAAUAUAUUGAACCGCAUGGUUCAAUAGUGAAAGACGGUUUUGCUGUCACUUAUAGAUGGAUCCGCGCCGCAUUAGCUAGUUGGUAAGGUAACGGCUUACCAAGGCAACGAUGCGUAGCCGACCUGAGAGGAUGAUCGGCCACACUGGAACUGAGACACGGUCCAGACUCCUACGGGAGGCAGCAGUAGGGAAUCUUCCGCAAUGGGCGAAAGCUUGACGGAGCAACGCCGCGUGAGUGAUGAAGGUCUUCGGAUCGUAAAACUCUGUUAUUAGGGAAGAACAAAUGUGUAAGUACCUAUGCACGUCUUGACGGUACCUAAUCAGAAAGCCACGGCUAACUACGUG